CGGGCGGGGGGCGCUGCGCGGGGCGGCUUGCCGCUGUUUUGUUUCCUCCUCUCCCAGUGGAGCGGCUCGGGCUGCCGGGGAGGCCCCGGCUCCCUCGGGACGCCCGGCCAACGGCGGCGGCGGUGCUAGUCCGCGGCCCUGCCGGGAGGGAAAGCGACGCCGUGGUCUUCCCAGGCGACGCGGAGAGCAGUAGUUCCAAAGAACUGCUGGUUUAUAUUUUAGCUCUUGCCAACUUGUGAAAAUAGUGAAGGAUGAUUACACUACUUAACAAUCAAAUUGCCCUCUGGUUAAUCAUCUUUAGAAGACUGGAUUUCUGGAUAUCUCCUUCACUCUAAAAGUCUGUUGACUUUUAGAACAUGAUAAUGCAAACUUGUAACACUGGCAGUCAUCUAUGAAUCUUUAAAUUACAUUGAUUAAUAGCGUUCGA
rnacentral:lncRNA from 1 species